AUUUCCAGGAAGAAUCUGAUGUGGAGCCCACCACAGCUGGAGUCGCUCCCUGCUGGGAUGAACUGCACCUUCUCCAUUAAUCUGCUUCUCAUCAGACAACAAUACGAUGGAAGGCUCAAGGCUGAAGCACAAAACUGGACAAAGAACCAUCAAAUUAUGAAGGAGAAGAACCAAGAGUCCUUUCGUUUUAACCUGCAUGACUGCAGCAAAUGAACAACAGAACUAAUUACCCCAAAUGUCAGAUCUUUAGAUUGCAGGUCAGAUUCUAAAUAUACACGACACAGACCUGCCUAAUGACCCCAUCACGAUGUACGAGAUCCCUUAAGCCUUCCCUAAAUACACCUUUCUCCUCA